UUACUUUACAGCAGUGAGGAAGGUGGGUAUGUUAAUAGCAUAUUCAUUUGACGUUAGCUGCAGAAGAAGCACCGGCUAACUCCGUGCCAGCAGCCGACGGUAAUACGGGAGGGUGACGAGUACGUUAAUACGGAAUUACGUGGGACGUAAAGCGCAUGCAGGUGGUUUAGUUAAGUCAGAUGUAGAAACGGCCCGGGGCUACCAACCGUACGGUAAUUGCUAUUUAGAAACGUGGACAAACUAGAGUACUGUAGAGGGGGUAGAAUUUCAGGUGUAGCGGUGAAAUGCGUAGAGAUCUGAAGGAAUACCGGUGGCGAAGGCGGCCCCCUGGACAGAUACUGACACUCAGAUGCGAAAGCGUGGGGAGCAAACAGGAUUAGAUACCCUGGUAG
rnacentral:rRNA from 1 species